GGCAAGUGUUGAGUUUCGCGAUAUUGGGUGCUGAUGUCGAAAAAUUUCUCAAGUUUUAAGAACACAUCUACCAUACGCGUUUUACAACCAGACAUGGAUAAAGUUACAUGCCUCGUUGCAUCACAUGUACUGUAGAUCCCGCGUCCCGUGCCAUGUGGUCUGCAGUUGUAUCCUAUGGUAUUUGUUGCAUCCAGUCAUUUGAGAUGUGAACAUGUUUGCUGUGGAUAAAUGUGUUCAUAGAAAGUGCUGGAUGAUGGAUGUAAUACGGAUUAGAAAAGCAAUUGCCGGACACCAAGACGGACGGCAAGAAGCCAUGGAUCAUAAAACAAUAACCAGAUCACCACCACCGAUUGUCUAUCAAUAAUGAAUGCAUUCAUCCAUUGCGUCGAUAACUGCACCAUAAGUAUAAUAUGUGGA